rnacentral:rRNA from 1 species
CAGCGCCACGAGUGGUGAUCACUAUUAUUGGGCCUAAAGCGUCCGUAGCCGGUCUAGUAAAUCUCUUGUGAAAUCGUUCGGCUCAACCGAGCGGCGUGCAGGAGACACUGCCAGACUAGGGACCGGGAGGGGUCAGAUGUAUUCUGGGGGGAGCGGUAAAAUGCUAUAAUCCUCAGAGGACAACCGGUGGCGAAGGCGUCUGACCAGAACGGAUCCGACGGUGAGGGACGAAAGCCAGGGGAGCAAUCCGGAUUAGAUACCCGAGUAGUCC